rnacentral:rRNA from 1 species
UACGGGAAGGCAGCAGUGGGGAAUAUUGCACAAUGGGCGAAAGCCUGAUGCAGCUAUGCCGCGUGUAUGAAGAAGGCCUUAGGGUUGUAAAGUACUUCAUCGGGGAGGAAAAAACAAAACUAAUAAUUUUAUUUCUUGACGUUACCCGAAAAAGAAGCACCGGCUAACUCCGUGCCAGCAGCCGCGGUAAUACGGAGGGUGCUAGCGUUAAUCAGAAUUACUGGGCGUAAAGAGCACGUAGGUGGUUUUUUUAAAGUCAGAUGUGAAAUCCCUGGGCUUAACCUAGGAACUGCAUUUUGAAACUGAAAUACUAGAGUAUCGUAGAGGGAGGUAGAAUUCUAGGUGUAGCGGUGAAAUGCGUAGAUAUCUGGAGGAAUACCUGUGGCGAAAGCGGCCUCCUAAACGAAUACUGACACUGAGGGUGCGAAAGCGUGGGGAGCAAACAGGGAUUUAGAUACC